rnacentral:rRNA from 1 species
UGUGCCCUACGGGAGGCAGCAGUGAGGAAUAUUGGUCAAUGGGCGGGAGCCUGAACCAGCCAAGUCGCGUGAGGGAAGACGGUCCUAUGGAUUGUAAACCUCUUUAGGCGGGGAGCAAUGCCGGGCACGUGUGCCCGGAGGGAGAGUACCCGCAGAAUAAGCAUCGGCUAACUCCGUGCCAGCAGCCGCGGUAAUACGGAGGAUGCGAGCGUUAUCCGGAUUUAUUGGGUUUAAAGGGUGCGUAGGCGGAUUUUUAAGUCAGCGGUAAAAUGUCCGGGCUCACACCGGGCCGGCGGUUGCAACUG